AGUUGGAUAGGUAGGAUUUGACUUCUGAGAGUGCAUAUAUUCUUUUUCCCUCCUAGCACUAAUGCAGAUUGGGUGUAUGUGUGUAUAAAAUCCCGUAUAUUUUGUAUUUCUUAGACAUUUGCAUACUCUGAGGAUCUAAAUAUCUUUUCACGUUGUAUUACAUUGAGUUAUGUAGUGCAACGUUAUUUAGCGCUGCCAGACAGGAAGACAUGACAUCCUCUUCUGUGCAUGCUGAUUUCUGAAUUCCUUUAACAUCAUUAUCAUGUAUUUCUUCAUAUAAGACUCUCAUAUAUCUGUAUCAGAAUUACAGAAGUAUUUAUGUCAAGGAAGCAGGACUGUGAGUACAUUGUAAGAGAGGUAACUUAUAGGUGUUAUUGUUAUAGCAGUUCUGCUUCGAUUUUGCUGAUGAAACCUCAAUCAGUUCCUUGCACCUCCAGACUGCUCUUUGGUGGCAUGGGAUGAGAAGCAGUAAAGUACUUGAAAUGUGUAAGCAUUGCUCAGCAAUAAUGAAAACAUCCCUGCGUUAUCAAUGCUGUCUUCAGUACGAACCCAAAACAAAGCCCCAUACCAGCUACGAUGAAGAAAAUUAACUCUAUCCUAGUCAAAACCAGCCACCCUUCGUAUUUCACAAGUGCGCAACCAGGAAGAAAGUUUGGCACUGAAUUUAAGAGAAUUUAAUACUCUUUCUUUCACAGUUAUCGAACUAAAAAAAAAAAAUCAGCAAAAUGAACCUCAGGAGAGAGGCAGUACUCGAGAACAACUGAGUGGAAAUUAAAAACCAAAAGAGGGAACUUUCAGUGGCUACUGAAGAGAUGUGGAUUAUCUUUACCAUCUUCUGGAUUGGAAAUCACCUUUAAAAACUAUGAAACCAGAACAUUAAAAUACUAGCCACUGAUACUCGAAAAAUACUGAAAUUUCUUGAAUAUUUUAGGAUUCUGCUCUUAGCUGUUGUCUCUAAGCAACACAUCAGACAGGGUUGCACUGUUUCAUAUGCCUAUAAAAAUAUAUACAUUUUUUUCACCUAAAUAGUGAGGUUGCUAAAACCUUUGAAGAUACGUAUUCUAAAUGGUGGAUUAGUUGGUAAAAGCCGGAAGAUCGAUAUCUGAUUGGUUUGACUUCUCACUAUGAGGCUCGACUGGGAACGCUGCUCAUCAAAAACUCAUUCUGAAAGGGGAAAAAAGAGAUGUGAAUUACUGAGUGCGUAACAAGAGAUGAAUUGAAGAAAGGUCUGGAGGGAAUUUACAGAUGUCCUAGUCAUGAGAAACUUUGCAAAAAUCUUGUGAAGCUGCCCACAGAUUUGAAGCUGUGAGAAAUCUGAAAUGCCACGGAUGACUAUGACGCUACUUAAAAUUGCUGAGGUUAAUGGGCUGCAUGAACAUCACAGUUUUCUUCUUCACAUUUGAACCCAUAGGACAAAACUGUUCGCACUUAUAUUAUAGUAAGAAUGCAAACUGCACCUCAUCAAAUACCUUCAUUAUUUUGGAAAAAAAAUGAAGACUUUCUUCAGCCUAGUCUCCUGUCUUUUAUGCCCUGAAGAAUUAAGUUGGACUAAACCAAGACGAAGCAAACUUACCAAAUGUCCUGCAGGUAGAGGCAUGGUCACACUGGUAGAUGGCCACAGCUACAGAGAGUAGAGCUCUACAUUCAAAGCAGUCUUAACUCCUGUCUCUUCCCUUCCUUCUCCUCCGGGAAACACAGAUGAGAGCCUUUCAGUUUUGUUCUACAUAA